rnacentral:rRNA from 1 species
AUGCACGCUGGCGGCGUGCCUAAUCCAUGCCAGUCGAGCGAACGGACGAGAAGCUUGCUUUUCUGAUGUUAGCGGCGGACGGGUGAGUAACACGUGGAUAACCUACCUAUAAGACUGGGAUAACUUCGGGAAACCGGAGCUAAUACCGGAUAAUAUUUUGAACCGCAUGGUUCAAAAGUGAAAGACGGUCUUGCUGUCACUUAUAGAUGGAUCCGCGCUGCAUUAGCUAGUUGGUAAGGUAACGGCUUACCAAGGCAACGAUGCAUAGCCGACCUGAGAGGGUGAUCGGCCACACUGGAACUGAGACACGGUCCAGACUCCUACGGGAGGCAGCAGUAGGGAAUCUUCCGCAAUGGGCGAAAGCCUGACGGAGCAACGCCGCGUGAGUGAUGAAGGUCUUCGGAUCGUAAAACUCUGUUAUUAGGGAAGAACAUAUGUGUAAGUAACUGUGCACAUCUUGACGGUACCUAAUCAGAAAGCCACGGCUAACUACGUG